rnacentral:pre_miRNA from 1 species
CUUAAAAUAAACCAGCCUCGUAAAGAAUGGAGUACAUUCUAGCACUACUAGCAUGUAUAUGAGGUUGGUUUAUUUUGGA